GGAAUUAUUUCUGUGUUAAUGCAUUUCUUUAACAAUGUUUUAUGCUAUUGUCAAAUAAAUGUCAUAAUAUCUACCUAAUAUUUAAGAUUUCGGCACGAAAAAUUGCUUUACUGAGGUUAAUGGAUUUAAUUUUUGUUGCUACAUCGAUUAGCCUUAAGGUGUUCUGCACAGGAAAGGGAAAGAAGCUGAACGCAAACCAGCUGAUCGUAGUGUACAAUUUCAAAGUGGCCGAAAGAGUGUUGUGUUUUGAGUGAUAUAUACACAGGUUAAUUACGUUGACAAUUAUCCUGCAACGACUUCAAGAGAAGGAAUUCUAAGGAACUUAUUGGUGUCAUCAGUGAGGCUGUGAGGCACUGCUAAAAAGGGCAGACGCAUCUCCAGGGAGGCCGUGCCACACGGAAACCGGAACGAUUGCUUGAAAUUACGAGAGGCAAAUAACAGGGUGACAAUCAGGGCGCAGCUAUCGUUUGAUAGUUGUGAUGAGAUCCACCUGCACCUUCAGAAGUAACCUGUUCGCUAUUUCUGUAUCAAAAUGCUUCUUGCCCUUUUGAUCAGUAGCCGCCAGUUAUGCAUUUAUAUUCCCGAUCUUCUUUUCUUCUUGACGUAAGGUCAAUGGUAUUUGUAUGAUGGUGACGUACUGGGUUACAGUGUUGUAAUCCAACCAAAGAAGAACUAUUUCGUCGACCUUUGUACAUGUAAAGGAAAUCUAUGAAUGAAUGCGAGAUAAUGUAAAGAGCUCUUCAGUUAAUAA